rnacentral:rRNA from 1 species
UACGUAGGGGCGAGCGUUGUCCGGAAUUACUGGGCGUAAAGGGCGUGUAGGCGGCUAGAUAAGUCAGGUGUGAAAACUGUGGGCUCAACCCAGAGAUUGCACCUGAAACUGUCUAGCUUGAGGGUAGGAGAGGAAAGUGGAAUUCCUAGUGUAGCGGUGAAAUGCGUAGAUAUUGGGAGGAGCACCGGUGGCGUAGGCGGCUUGCUGGACAGUAACUGACGCUGAGGCGCGAAAGCCAGGGGAGCAAACGGGAUUAGAUACCCGGGUAGUCCCU